GUAAUGGAAAUGAAGUUCUUCCAUAAAUUAUUUUAAAACCGCUAAAAGCUGAUGACUUCUACACU
rnacentral:ncRNA from 1 species